UUACUAGAGCAUGUGCUUCACUUUUUUUUUUUAAUCUAGCAGCAAUUUGCAAGGAGUGUGUGUUUUAUUUAUAUUAUUGGCUAAUUUAUUUAUUUGAAACAUGGCCUUUAAGAUGUUCUCACACUAAUCAACCGCUAGUAGCUAGAUAGUCCGCGUUUAAACAACGUUUGGCGCAUAAGAUGCAGGAAAUAGCUAGCUAACCAGUUAGCCAGCUAACAUAGCUAGCUAAUAGCGUCCCUACACAGAAUAGUUACCAGCCGUCCUGCGCUCAGGUUGUUCACUUUAGGACUAGCCCAAGUUCAUCUUAUUUAGUUAGCUAUGGACUCAAUGCCUUUAAUACGAGGUGUUUUAUUGCGAAAUGACGACACGCCUUAUCAAAACCUUAACCGAGAAUUCGCAACGAGAAUUUAUUAUCCGAGCCCUGAGUCACCGUCUCCUCAUGUACCCGACAUCACAGAGACCAGCGCUGGUCUGGAGUGGUUUGAAAUGGGCCUAGUGACCUCAUCUGGUCCCGCCAGGAGCACAACAGACCAGGGAGUACCGCGGUCUCCUUAUGUCACUGGAUCAGUCAGCACCCAAAGCUCUCCACUCAGCACUCAAACUGUCCCUGUUAUCAGAAAGAGGAGGGUUUAUGCACUAGCCCAGCCAGUGAGAAGCGAAUCUGAAGAGGACCUAUCUAGUAAAGAAGGGAUAUCGGAGAGGGGGAGCAGAAAAGGGAAAGACAGCAGACCCAUCCUGGGAGAUCUGUUUGAUUAACACACUGACUGAUUUGUAACUGCCGCUGACUUUUUAAUGUUUGAUUAUUUCCAAUGUAAUGCUGGUGAAGUCAUUUACAAUUCCUUACAGAUUACCUAGUUUGAUCCCCUCCUGUUUGUAAUCUUUUUCAUCAGUUUUGCAAUGUGUCAUUGUUCUAAUAAAAUAUAAUCAAAAAGGUUGAAAUAGUAGAACAUUUAAAAUUCCCAGAGUGAAAUAGUAGUAUAGUGACAACCACUAAAUGUCACUGUUGUGUUAUUUCCUGUCUACCACUUUCCUCUCUGAUACUGCUGGGCGUGUGAGUGAGAGGUUAUCCUGUGAUCUUGUACUUCACUGAGAAAAUGAAACAUGCACUAGUAGGUAAUCUUUAAUGGGUGUGAUCGUGUCUAAGAGGGCAUUGGGUCACCCCCUACUUCUUCUGAUCCUUCCAUGACAUAGAAAGAUGUGAAUAGACAAACACUGAAGUUUUUGUCUGAAGUGGAUGUGAAUUCAACAGAAUUGGGAAUGUCUAGGACAGAGAAGGGUAAUGACAUUGUCAGACUAGCCAUCCCCAAAUGAGUGGUCAAAUGGGGCAAUUCAUUUUUCCACAGACUGGCAGAUGGGCCAGGUACUCUAGGAACUCAUGGGUUUGCUAAACAACAGCUUUAUGUAGAACUUUGAUUUGUAUAUUCAAUCUGCUUUGAAACAUAAUGAGUAUGUGUCUCUACGUACAGUGGAAAAAUACCCAAUAUAUGAACAAAUAUAUAUUAAGAAGAUGAAUUAGGGAACCCUUUCAAGAGAAUGCAGGCCUUAAGCCUUUGUGUUGGGAAAGAGAAAUUGUUGGAUUAUUGAAUUCAAUGAGACUCUUCUACCCUUGAGUGGGUGACCUACUCAUCCUCAGGGCCUAUGCAUGAUGGGUCCACUAUCCCACACAUAUGGUGGAGAAUUGCCACACUCACCUACAAAAUGGAUUAGGGAGCAUAUUAACAUCAUCUGGAGUCUUAUCAGGGGUUAAAUUGGGAUAGUCUGUCUCCAAAUUUUGUUUUUUCUAAAAUUGUCACUAUAUAUUCUGUUUUGCUAUACCCCCCCUACCCCACACACACAGACUUUAACCUCCCCAGAACCCCCUCUCAUCCCCACCACCACACACAUUAGCCAUGGGAUUGAUGUUGGAGGGUGGGUCACCUAAUCCCUGUUAGGGUGAAGGCACAAAGCGCAUGUUGGUGCAGGAGGGGCCAAAUGCUUACAUCACAUCUGUCUCACUCUGACACAUUUGAUCGUCCUUUAUAGAUCAUCCCUGCCCUUCUACAUGACUUAGCUUGCUGACCGCACAUUGUGGUUCACCAAUCAAUACCUGAAUCGUAAAAUAGCAAGAGUGAGGGUGAGUGGUUGGGGCUGGGACCAGGGUUAGGGUUAGGGUGAGAGUAUGGUUGGU